rnacentral:rRNA from 1 species
UACGUAGGGUGCGAGCGUUAAUCGGAAUUACUGGGCGUAAAGCGUGCGUAGGUGGUUUGUUAAGUCUGAUGUGAAAGCCCUGGGCUCAACCUGGGAAUUGCACUGGAUACUGGCAGGCUAGAGUGCGGUAGAGGAUGGCGGAAUUCCCGGUGUAGCAGUGAAAUGCGUAGAGAUCGGGAGGAACACCGGUGGCGAAGGCGGCAUCCUGGACCGACACUGACGCUGAGGAGCGAAAGCCAGGGGAGCAAACGGG